rnacentral:rRNA from 1 species
UACGGAGGGUGCAAGCGUUAUCCGGAUUCACUGGGUUUAAAGGGCGCGUAGGCGGCCAGCACAAGUCAGUUGUGAAAUCUCCGAGCUUAACUCGGAAAGGUCAACUGAUACUGUGCGGCUAGAGUGCGGAAGGGGCAACUGGAAUUCUUGGUGUAGCGGUGAAAUGCGUAGAUAUCAAGAGGAACACCUGCGGCGAAGGCGGGUUGCUGGGCCGACACUGACGCUGAGGCGCGAAAGCCAGGGGAGCGAACGGG